GAUCUACUCCCUCCGUUCGGAUUUACUUGUCAUAGAAAUGGAUGUAUCUAGACAUUUUUUAGUUCUAGAUACAUCCAUUUCUGCGACAAGUAAUUCGGGACGGAGGGAGUAUAUA
rfam:Triticum aestivum genome assembly, contig: Triticum_aestivum_CS42_TGACv1_scaffold_526515_6DL